CCAAAAUAGUCUAACACUGCUUGGUCAUCGAGGCUAAGGAGUGUUUAUAUACAACACUCACACCUUUCAAACCACCGAGACGCCUUUUCUAUAAAGGACAAAAUCGUGCCGGGUUAACCCCAAAGCGGACAAUCUCUCGGAGAUGUAGACUUGAGGUAACAUCGGAACAUUACGUAAAUAACUGAAAACUUUUUAAGAUUUUUACUUUCCGCACCCCCGACUUACAUGCGUUCCUCCUGAUAUUCUAAAUUUAUCACUUUUGCUAUUUAGAAAGCGAGUGUGUAAAUAGCAAAAAUAG
rnacentral:lncRNA from 1 species